CCCCUCGGCCCAGUUUCCGGUGUCCAGCGGCCGCUUGCCUGGCGCCCUGGGCUGGUCUUGAGGACGCUGCGGACGGCGAGGCUGUGCUGAUUUUCCUGGUAGCGGGGCCUUUGGGAAUGAAAGAUGGCAGCACGCCGUGCGUUAAAAGCUGUUUUGGUGGAUCUCAAUGGCACACUUCACAUUGAAGAUGCAGCUGUGCCAGGCGCACAGGAAGCUCUUAAAAGGUUACGUGGUACUUCUGUAAUGGUUAGGUUUGUGACCAAUACAACCAAAGAGAGCAAGCAAGACCUAUUGGAAAGGUUGAAAAAAUUGGAGUUUGAUAUCUCUGAAGAUGAAAUAUUCACUUCUCUGACUGCAGCCAGAAAUUUAGUAGAGCAGAAACAGGUUCGACCCAUGCUGCUAGUAGAUGACCGGGCACUACCUGAUUUCAAAGGAAUACAAACAAGCGAUCCUAACGCUGUGGUCAUAGGACUGGCACCAGAACAUUUCCAUUAUCAAAUUCUGAAUCAAGCAUUCCGGUUACUCCUGGACGGGGCACCUCUGAUCGCAAUCCACAAGGCCAGGUAUUACAAGAGGAAAGAUGGCCUGGCCCUGGGGCCUGGACCGUUCGUGACGGCUUUAGAGUAUGCCACAGACACCAAAGCCACAGUAGUGGGAAAACCAGAGAAAAUGUUCUUUUUGGAAGCAUUGCGGGGCACUGGCUGUGAACCUGAGGAGGCCGUGAUGAUAGGAGACGAUUGCAGGGAUGACGUUGGUGGGGCUCAGAAUGUCGGCAUGCUGGGUAUCUUAGUACAAACUGGGAAAUAUCGAGCAGCAGAUGAAGAAAAAAUUAAUCCACCUCCUUACUUAACUUGUGAGAGCUUCCCUCAUGCUGUGGACCACAUCCUGCAGCAUCUACUGUGAUCCUUUAUGUGAAUCAGAAGCAACUCUGGAAUGAAUCCCUCCCCAACUCCACGCCCGCAUAGAUAGACAUGGACCAACCCUCCUCUAUUGUGCAUUAAUUAGAAAGAAAGAUGCCCCGACCUAGUACUUAAACGUCCUAGAGUGCAAAGCACGUGUGCUGGGCCUGCCGCCCCAGAUCGGAGGCGUGAGUGGAAUGGCCAGGAGCAGAGGUUCGGGGGCCUAGCCAGCAGUUAACGAGCUGGGUCCGUGGGCAAGUCACCUAGACUUGUCUGUGAAGUGGACACGGUGCCAGCACCCACCACUUAGGCUUGUUGUGGGUGUGAAACGUCUGACCGGUGUAUCAAGUAGAAUCGGACAGAUGCUGAGCGCUGACGAUGACGCAGGUGUAGCAGGACUGUCCACACCGGGUAAUCUGGUAAGGGUUGAUAGAAUUCACCUCUACAGUUGGUUCAAUGGGGAAAGUCUUCCUGAGGAUUCAAAAACAGCGAGACAUUCUAUUCCAUCUAAACCACACGCGCAGAGGCACAGAGAGAGCCGCUCAGCAGCAGGUAGAGUGUGCUGCCCGGUACCUGGGGGAUGUGCUGUAUUCAACCUCGGCCUGUUACCUGGGUCCCUGAGUGAGUGAUUCUCUGACCCAGGCACCAUCGAGUGUUUGCUGGUUGCUACGUGCUAAGUGCCGUGCUAGGAAAUAAUCACGUGUAUAAGACAAGGAUUUUGCCCUGAGGAAACUUCCUCGUGGAGGAGCUAGGGAGAACAUACAAGACCUUGUUCGGACUCCAGUGGCCCUUCUCUCUGAUGUCCGCCUGACUGCAGGUGGAAUGAGGCAUUCCCUCCUCCUUGCCCUCAUACCACUUGUUAGAUUAUAUGUUGGUCCUCACAUGUCCCUUCUGCCCACCAGACAGGACUGGGUGUCAUUCUUUAUUGUAUCUCCUGCAACACAGGCACUCAGAUGGUUACGGAACCAGUACAAACCAGCUGUAAAUAUUAUAGGAAUUUAAUGUUGGAACAUAUAGCUAUGAGUAGAGAGGAGAAAAUAAGUCUCAUUUUAGACUCAUUGCCUAUAGGGGAGGUCCCAUCAGACACUUGGAAAUAGUGGAUCUGAUGCUCUGGAGACAGACUAGAGCUAAAGCAAAGAAGUAGACAUCACUGAUGGGUCAGGGAUCAAACAGAAUGACAGGAAUGGAUAAGACCAUGUGAGCAUAAGGCCCCCAGCCUAGAGAAAUGGCUUCCUUCUUCCAUUCUAGUUUGGCCCUAUAGGCCAUUAAAAUCUUUGUUUGAUGUUUUAUUUAUUUAACAAACAUUAUAUAGGGUUUGUUGGCUGACCUGUCCAUAGGGAGGUUCGUGAGGAUAAAUAAAAAUCUUAUUUUAGACCUGGGUUACUGUAAACAUUCCCAGCACAGCUGGGUGGUCUGCCUUGGAGGAGAUGUAAUAACUGAAGUAUCUAAAAGACCUCUUUUUCCAGCCGUCCCAUUUAAAGAGCUACCCCAUGGUAUAUGACCUCAGAGACAGUGUUUGCAUCAGCUUUACUGUAAUCCUCUUCUAGGCCCAUUUGGGGACUGGGAAGGGUAGUAGAGAACACCCAUUGUCAGGGGAGGAGUACUGAGCUUCUGCUGUCAGCCAGGUGCAUGCCGGGUGUGGAAGAGGGCAGAGCAGUCUGGUGGUGGACACGGACAGCUGCCCCACUACCUCUCUCCGUGCCUCCAGAAUCAGCUGGUCUCACCGUAGCUCUUCCUGCCCACCAUUGUACAUCUGUCCGAGCCACCAAACACCUGUAGCCCUGGAUGUCAGGAACGCCCUUGGAAGGAUAGUGCCAUCACCUCACCCUUAACCCCACAUUCAAAAAUUGUUGUACCGCGUUAGACCCGAAAGUCACCACACCUUACACGGGUUGUGUUCAUUUAGUUUGCACUCAGUGGUUGUUCGCGUAGCAUGGAACUGAAAUCCUUGGGCACUUACAGUAAAGAAUUUUUAAAACUGCACUCAUCUGUUUCACUGAAAUACCCUGCCUUAAACAGCAGAAUCCCUUUUUAAUAUUGGCAGUUGCUUGCAUAAACCCAUGUUUGCAUUAUCAGUUUCCUUUGACUUGUCAUAAAAACUCUUCUUCAGCAUAAACACAUAGGACCUUUGCUGACCUUCUGUUAUGUCAGCCAUCAAGGCCUAGUACCCCAAAGCAUGCUCUCUUUAAGGGACAACCAGAGCAAGCACGAGAGCACCAGAAAUCAUUUAUCGUUUACAUUAUGUGUUAAAAUCAAACAAUUUUAAAUACCUUUUGUCAGUGCUUACCUUCAUGUCCUACACAUCUCAACUUCUCUUUCGUUAAUGUGCCUGAGGAAACCAAAUUAUUAAAUGCCAACUGUGGAUAAAGUACAAAGGAAGACAGAGUAGAAUGUAGCUCCCGAUUCCUAAGAUGCAUGUCUUCUAGUUGGGGAACGGAAGCAUAUAAAAAUAUAUUGAACUGUCCCAAGGGCUGUGACAAGUUCAAGAUAUUUUGUAGAAGUCCUCUCGUAGAAGAGGUCAUGUGCAGUGAGCUGAGUGCCUUGGGACAGUAAUCACAGCUUCUAGCCUGUAAAGCAGAUACAGUGCUCAUUUUAAAGAACAUUUUGUUCAUUCAGUAACAGUGAAAAAAGUACCACAACCAUGGGGCUAACACAAUAAAACCUACACACCUACUUAAUACAAUAGAUCUAUGGCUAAGUGAUGAAGAAGAAGAGAGAGGGAGUAAUUUUAGAUAAGUAGAGCCCAUCUGGGAAGGCUUCUGAUGGUGACCCGAAUGAAAUGUGGAGACAAGCCGUGAAUUCUAAAAGAUAGUUAACCUUAGUUACUGACAUCUGAAGAUCAGGGGAUCUCAAAUGCAGAUCGAUGACCACUGGUUUUCCUAGGAAGAUUGGAAGACGUGGCAAUGUUGGGUUAUCUUCCACCAAGCUUACUUUACCCAUAUGUUACUGUGUUCUGAGUUCCUAUAGGCAUUGUGACUUCUGCGUUGGGAGAAAAAUACCACAUGUCAGAUUAAGUUAAAUUUUCCUCCCAGGCCAGGCUCCUAUAUCCUUACAAACUUGGAUACACUUCUAAUCUACUUUUUAAAUAAUAAGAGACUCUAAACAUAAAUUAAUCUUAUGUCUUAGUCGGUCUCUCUAUCUCAGAGCCCCACUAAAAAUGAAAGUUAAGGGAUAAGGAAGGUAUAAACUCACAAGGACAGCCCACAAGAAGAGAUACCAGUGGAUGAGAGGGUAUAGUAAUUUGAAGGAUGGAAAAUAGAUGGGUUGCUGAUAACUAAAAUCAGUGCAAAGAAAGACAAUCAAAAGUCAUCCUGUAGAACCUCAAAGAUCCAAGGCUUGGAGACACUAGGUAGAGAGGAGAUGAGGUGUGAGGGUUGAGAAGCAAGGAAUUAGUUUGAAGCUGGUAAACACAGUGAUUGGAGCCCCAGGGAAGCCUCCCCACUCUGAGCAUCCAGCCACGCCAGGAGAGUGGAAGUUUACUUCUGGAAGGGUGGGCCCAGGAAAGUUAAGGCCUUAAGGAUAGUGGGCUGGGUGUGAGGGUGAGCCAGGGUGAGGAGGGACAGGGGACCAGCUACAUCUCUGCUUAUUCUAUAAUGGUUCCCUGGUUCUUUUCCCCUUACAACUCUAGGACCAGAGCAUAUGUGGAUGGAGUCAAAAGUUGAUCUGCUAUGUGGCCAUUUGGAAACAAAUACUGAUAGGUAUCUGACAAGAUCAGACAGAUAGGAGCAUGUGUUGCAAAAAAUCAAAAUAAGUACUUCAAAAAUGAAGCAAACGAUAAAACAAGGCAGUUACUAAUUCCCAAAAGACAAAACUCCACAAAAAAGGAAAUGUAAUUUUGAUUCACUAGUUGGGCCUGCAUGAACAGUAUACAGUUCUCCUAGGAGUACUGAUCACUGAGUUAACCUAAGAUUAUUACUGUUUGGUGAUGGUAGGGAAAGACGUAUCGGUAGGGACAGAGUGGGGUGAUGAAAGAGCUACCUUUCACUUCCUCCAAAGCAAGAAGUCGUUAGAUAGCAACGAAACUGAUAAAGCCACUGAAAUAAAAGCGUGACCUGAAAACACACAUGCAUGAUUAUUUAGAGACCAACUUUCCAAGGAAAAGAGGAGAGGAGGAUUGAAUACGAUGGAGGUAUUAAUAAGCGUGAACUUGGAGACGGAG